CUUACGUCGCCCGAUUCGUCAAUCCCUCCACCCAUCGCGUUCUCUUCCCAAGUUGGUUUUCCGGUGGAAAAAAAAAUUGUAGGUCAGUCAAACGCGAUCUAUCUCUAUCGCUCCCGAACCCACCUCUUCCCCUUCCGAUCUGGUCGCCGCCGAAUCCGGCGUCGCCCCCCACCCCCCACCCCCGCGCUCGGUUCCCGUCCAGAACCUGCCACCUACGACGGAGCGAGGCCGCCGAAGCCGGCGACAAAAGGAUUCGAAGCAGCCGGCCGGAGCUACUUUGACUUCGACGUUGAGGAGGGCGUCGGCCUCAGCUCCUGGCCUCCCAGGGCCCGCCGCCGCUGGGCUCGUACAUGGUCAGGUGCGGGCGACUCGGAGAGGAGCUUUGGCCGUAAGGACUAUACAGCUUAGUUUCUCCUGGGAUCACGUUCUCCGGACGUCCAUUGAGUUUCCGAGCAAAGUCCGGGCCUCCAGGUUUAUCUACACAUCCACGUAAUAAGGCAACUGUGUAACAAUUAUCAAGCCUGGUUGAGAAGAAGAGAAUGCAAAAGAUCAAUUUAUCUUCAUGAGUAGGAAAGUAUUAAUCAAUCUCUAGAUAAAGUAAUGAGAUCAAUUCCUCAGAAUGCAGGCCGAGGCUGCUAGCUUGUACAUGGAUUCCUAGAUGCCGUACUAAUGAAGAAGAUAGCAAGCCGUCGAUUGCUGCAACAGGGCGGCAGGGAAGAUCCGAGUCAGCCGACGGUUGUCAAGGCAACAGUAACCUUCUAAAGGACCUUCCUAUAGUCUCCUGCCAAUGCCGGAUUAGAUCGAGGUCGCGGUGGAUUGGGUGAAUCGCGCGUACCUAGGUAUAGCCUCAUGACGCGAGGAGAACUCGUCACACUCGGCAGCCCCAAGCAGCGGUCCAAAACAUAUUAAAGUUCCAUGGAUCAAGAAGGUAUAGCAAUAGUACUGUCACACCUGUACAACUACUUGGUGGAACAAUUUUCAUUGCAGUUUUGCCAGAACUGAUGCUAAGUCAUGGCAGGUUGUUUCUGGCGGUAGUGUUUUCAUCUGAUAUCAUUGAUAUUUUAUUUACUGAAUAACCUUUCAAGAAUCA